rnacentral:tRNA from 1 species
UCCCGUGUGGCUCAGUUGGUAGAGCAUGGUGCUUACAAUGCCAAGGUUAAUGGAUCUGAUUCCCAUGGGAG